UCUUAAGACAGAGACCUUUCUCAUUCAAUCAUCAUUGGCCGCUUUGAUGUGUGACCCCUGCUCCUCAUGCUGGAAGAGGAGAAAUUAACAGCUAGGACAGGAUGGCGACUCAGAAUCAAAGUGUGUCUCAGCCUUGCUCCCCUGCAAAGCACAACUGUGUGUGCCGGAGAGAAGCACUGUUUACCUCCAU